rnacentral:rRNA from 1 species
CCUACGGGUGGCAGCAGUGGGGAAUAUUGCACAAUGGGCGCAAGCCUGAUGCAGCCAUGCCGCGUGUGUGAAGAAGGCCUUCGGGUUGUAAAGCACUUUCAGCGGGGAGGAAGGCGGUGAGGUUAAUAACCUCAUCGAUUGACGUUACCCGCAGAAGAAGCACCGGCUAACUCCGUGCCAGCAGCCGCGGUAAUACGGAGGGUGCAAGCGUUAAUCGGAAUUACUGGGCGUAAAGCGCACGCAGGCGGUCUGUCAAGUCGGAUGUGAAAUCCCCGGGCUCAACCUGGGAACUGCAUUCGAAACUGGCAGGCUAUAGUCUGGUAGAGGGGGGUAGAAUUCCAGGUGUAGCGGUGAAAUGCGUAGAGAUCUGGAGGAAUACCGGUGGCGAAGGCGGCCCCCUGGACAAAGACUGACGCUCAGGUGUGAAAGCGUGGGGAGCAAACAGGAUUAGAUACCCGGGUAGUC